UACAGAGGUCUCAAGCGUUGUUCGGAUUCAUUGGGCGUAAAGGGUGCGUAGGCGGCGCGGUAAGUCGGGUGUGAAAUCUCGGGGCUUAACUCCGAAACUGCAUUCGAUACUGCCGUGCUUGAGGACUGGAGAGGAGACUGGAAUUUACGGUGUAGCGGUGAAAUGCGUAGAUAUCGUAAGGAAGACCAGUGGCGAAGGCGGGUCUCUGGACAGUUCCUGACGCGGAGGCACGAAGGUCAGGGGAGCAAACGGG
rnacentral:rRNA from 1 species